rnacentral:rRNA from 1 species
UACGGGAGGCAGCAGUGGGGAAUAUUGGGCAAUGGGCGAAAGCCUGACCCAGCGACGCUGCGUGAGGGAAGAAGGUCUUCGGAUUGUAAACCUCUUUCAGUAGGGAAGAAGAAAGUGACGGUACCUACAGAAGAAGUCACGGCUAACUACGUGCCAGCAGCCGCGGUAAU